GGCUGUGAGGAACUACUGUCUUCACGCAGAAAGCGUCUAGCCAUGGCGUUAGUAUGAGUGUCGUGCAGCCUCCAGCC
rnacentral:misc_RNA from 1 species